UACAAGGUAGCAUAAUCCUUGUCCCCUCAUUAGGGACUGGAAUCAAAGGUUAAACGAGAGCUUAGCUGUCUCACCCGUAUCCAUAAAAAUUUACUUUCAAGUGAAAAGGCUUGAAUAAAACAAGAGGACAAGAAGACCCUAUGGAGCUUUAGGGGAAAAGUUUAAAAGAACAAAUAUUUUAUAAAAAGUUUACGAAAUUAAAAACUUUAGUUGGGGCAACUGAGGUACAAUAAAAACUACCUUUAAAAGAAAUAUUGAUAAAUAUGAAUUUAAAACUAAAGAUCCUAUUAUUAAGAUCAGGAAAACAAGCUACCCUAGGGAUAACAGCGUAAUUCCCCCUGAGAGCUCAUAUCGAAGGGAGAGAUUGCGACCUCGAUGUUGGACUAGGACAUCCCGCAGGUGCAGUAGCUUGCAAUGGUGAGCCUGUUCGGCUCUUAAAGUCCUACGUGAUCUGAGUUCAACCGGAUCCCG
rnacentral:rRNA from 1 species